rnacentral:rRNA from 1 species
AGCAGCCGCGGUAAUUCCAGCUCCAAUAGCGUAUAUUAAAGUUGUUGCAGUUAAAAAGCUCGUAGUUGAAUUUCGGGAUUGACGUGACGGUCAUGCCUUAAGGGGUAUGAACUGUUACAGUUGAUUUCUCACCUUCUGGAGAAACUUGAUGUCCUUUAUUGGGUGUCUUGCGGAUCCAGGACCUUUACCUUGAAAAAAUUAGAGUGUUUAAAGCAGGCAUUUUUGCUCGAAUACAUUAGCAUGGAAUAAUAGAAUAGGACGGCAUGGUUCUAUUUUGUUGGUUUCUAGGAUCACCGUAAUGAUUAAUAGGGAUAGUUGGGGGCAUUAGUAUUCAAUUGUCAGAGGUGAAAUUCUUGGAUUUAUUGAAGACUAACUACUGCGAAAGCAUUUGCCAAGGAUGUUUUCAUUAAUCAAGAACGAAAGUUAGGGGAUCGAAGACGAUCAGAUACC